GCAGGAGUGCCCAUGAAUGAACAUGGGUGAAAUCAUUGGAUACAGCUCAGUCUUGCCUGUGCUUAAGCCUGGAAAAAAAUAAAUGGUGCUUCACGGUGGAUUACUACAACCUUAACAUUGUAAUCCUUUCAUUAAGACCCCAUACCCAACACCCAGUAUUAUGGAACUUACUGACCCCAUCCAAUCAACAACUGAUUUGAUGUUUUGCCAUUUUAAAGAAUACUAGACAAGAUGAUCUCAAUUUGGAUCACUAUAUUGGGCUCCUAAUAGCCUGAUAUAAUUUUAAAUCAUCCCACACAACACAUUAUUAUCAUAUACAUCAGCAUUUCCCAAACUGUGCUGAAAUUGUGUAUACUAUUGAUAUUUUUGAGCUAAAAUAUGCUUAUAAAUACACAAAAA
rnacentral:sRNA from 1 species